AACGAACGCUGGCGGCAGGCCUAACACAUGCAAGUCGAACGGUUGUAGCAAUACAGCAGUGGCGCACGGGUGAGUAACACGUGGGAACGUGCCUUUCAGUCUGGAAUAACAGCGGGAAACUGCUGCUAAUACCGGAUAUUCUCUACUGAGGAAAGAUUUAUCGCUGAAAGAUCGGCCCGCGUUAGAUUAGGUAGUUGGUAGGGUAAUGGCCUACCAAGCCUACGAUCUAUAGCUGGUCUGAGAGGAUGAUCAGCCACACUGGAACUGAGACACAGUCCAGACUCCUACGGGAGGCAGCAGUGGGGAAUAUUGGACAAUGGGGGAAACCCUGAUCCAGCCAUGCAGCGUGAGUGACGAAGGCCUUAGGGUUGUAAAGCUCUUUUAUCAGGGACGAUGAUGACGGUACCUGAAGAAUAAGACACGGCUAACUUCGUGCCAGCAGCCGCCGUAA
rnacentral:rRNA from 1 species